UUCUAAUAGAGCUAUAACAUUAACCGCAUGGACCAAGGUUCCAUUCCUUGGAUUCCGUGAGGCCAAGAACCCCAGAUCAGAGAACAAAAGGCUUGCUUCCAUCUUGGGAGUGGCCGCCACCAUCUUGUGAGCUCUAAGAACAAAGACCCACCUGUAACAUUUGGUGGCAACCGUAUGGUGAUUCUCCAAAGCGGGAGAAAAUUGUUUCAGCAAGCCCAUUCCAGUCUUCAAGGCUAUUAUUACAGGCCAAAACAUUAAAAUGCCAGCGAGCUGGUGGAACAAUAAAG
rnacentral:lncRNA from 10 species